rnacentral:rRNA from 1 species
AACGAACGCUGGCGGCAUGCCUAAUACAUGCAAGUCGAACGAGCCCUUCGGGUCCUUUCUCCCAUGGGUGCGUCACGCGUCGGAACCUUCCCUUGGGUUCGGCCUAACUCUCCGACAGGGAUGCUAACACCGGAUAAUGUCUUCUGCCCAAAGAUUUAUUGCCUUUGGUUGGGCGCGCGUUGGAUUAGCUAGUUCUUAGGGUAAAAGCUUACCAAGGCGACGAUUCAUAGCUGGUUAGAGAGGAUGAUUAGCCACACUGGGACUGGGACGCGGCCGAGACUCUUACGGGAGGCAGCAGUGGGGAACAUUGCACAGUGGGGUAAGGCCUGAUCGAGUACUGCCGCGUGAGUGAUGAAGGCCGGAGGGUUGUAAAGCGCUUUUACCCGGGAUGAUAAUGACAGUACCGGGAGAAUAAGCCCCGGCUAACUCCGUG